CGGUCCAGACUCCUACGGGAGGCAGCAGUGGGGAAUAUUGCACAAUGGGGGAAACCCUGAUGCAGCCAUGCCGCGUGUGUGAAGAAGGCCUUCGGGUUGUAAAGCACUUUCAGCGAGGAGGAAAGGUCAGUAGCUAAUAUCUGCUGGCUGUGACGUUACUCGCAGAAGAAGCACCGGCUAACUCCGUGCCAGCAGCCGCGGUAAUACGGAGGGUGCAAGCGUUAAUCGGAAUUACUGGGCGUAAAGCGCACGCAGGCGGUUGGAUAAGUUAGAU
rnacentral:rRNA from 1 species